CUAUAAACCAUCCUGCACAAGCCUCUGAUAUUACAAAAAGAAAAAAGAUUUCAACUCUUUGGAAUUCCACAGGAAGUGCAAAAUCCAAGCUCCACCCCGCUUCACCCAGAAGCUCCCUCAGAGAACCAUGUCUGGCUCGUCUGUUUUGACUGAGAACAACAACAAGAGGAUGUUAAGCAGUCAGGACUGAUCAUGAGAGAAGCUCAACGUCUGUAGCUAGGAUUGACAGGAAAUUGUGGCUCAUGGAAAAGUGAAUUUUCAGUGGAAAGAACAUUUUCACUGAAAGUGUUUGUUUCCCUUGCACAUUUUCGAUUUUCCACGAGAAAACAAAAAAAACAAACAAACUUU